rnacentral:rRNA from 1 species
UAUCUCUGUAGAGUCUGCAUAUCAAUAAGCGGAGGAAAAGAAACUAACUAGGAUUCCCUCAGUAACGGCGAGUGAAGCGGGAAGAGCUCAAAUUUGAAAUCUUCAAGGUUCUACCUUGACGAAUUGUAGUUUAAAGAAGUGUUUUCUGUUGGAGUUUUGGUAAAAGUUCUUUGGAAUAGGACAUCAUAGAGGGUGAGAAUCCCGUAUUUGACCAUUAUUUCCAGCUUUGUGAUACACUUUCAAAGAGUCGGAUUGUUUGGGAAUGCAGUCCAAAAUGGGUGGUAAAUUUCAUCUAAAGCUAAAUAUUGGCGAGAGACCGAUAGCGAACAAGUACCGUGAGGGAAAGAUGAAAAGAACUUUGAAAAGAGAGUUAAACAGUACGUGAAAUUGUCAAAAGGGAAGCGUUUGACACCAGUGUUGUUUUCUCGAAAAUCAAUUAAAAAAAGUUGGAUUUUGUAUUGUUAAGACCUUAUCAGCUUACUGUACUCUUUUCUUGCUUUUUUUAAUGCACUUUUCGUUUAACAAGUCAACAUCAAUUUCUUUUGUUGUAAAAGAGUCAUUGGAAGGUGGCUUUCACUUCGGUGAAAGUGUUUAUAGGCCUUUGGCUUCUGCAAUCGGAGAGAUUGAGGUCUGCAGCGUAGAUCCUUCGGGGCUAGAUACGUAGAUGCUAAGUUAUAGUUUUUUAUAGACAACUUGUUGACUAUAAUUAAUCAUGUAGCUUACUCGUUUGCGCUAUUUUACCUACGCUUAGGAUGUUGACGAUCAGCUGAGCGC